rnacentral:rRNA from 1 species
CAGGCCUAACACAUGCAAGUCCGACGUGAAAGGGGAGCAAUCCCCCGGUAGGGUGGCAAACGGGUGAGUAAGACAUGGGUGAUCUGCCCUGGAGAUGGGGAUAUCCCUCCGAAAGGGGGGGCAAUACCGAAUAGUAUCCGGUUCCGUGAAGGGGACCGGGGAAAGGGAGGCCUCUGGUACAAGCUUCCGCUCCUGGAUGAGCCCAUGGCCCAUCAGCUAGUUGGUAGGGUAAAGGCCUACCAAGGCGACGACGGGUAGCUGGUCUGAGAGGACGACCAGCCACACUGGCACUGAGAUACGGGCCAGACUCCUACGGGAGGCAGCAGUGAGGAAUAUUGCGCAAUGGGGGAAACCCUGACGCAGCAACGCCGCGUGUGGGAAGAAGGCCUUCGGGUCGUAAACCACUUUUACUCGGGACGAAAAAGGGAUAUCAAAUAAAUAUCCCCGAUGACGGUACCGUGAGAAUAAGCCACGGCUAACUCUGUGCCAGCAGCCGCGGUAAGACAGAGGUGGCAAGCGUUGUUCGGAAUUACUGGGCGUAAAGAGUCUGUAGGUGGUUUGUCAAGUCUUUGGUGAAAAGCCGUAGCUUAACUAUGGGAAUGCCAAAGAGACUGGCAGGCUGGAGGCUGGGAGAGGGAAGCGGAAUUUCUGGUGUAGCGGUGAAAUGCGUAGAUAUCAGAAGGAAGGCCGGUGGCGAAGGCGGCUUCCUGGAACAGUCCUGACACUGAGAGACGAGAGCGUGGGGAGCAAACAGGAUUAGAUACCCUGGUAGUCCACGCCCUAAACGAUGGGUACUAAGUGUGGAGGGGUUAAACCCUCCGUGCCGCAGCAAACGCAGUAAGUACCCCGCCUGGGAGUACGGCCGCAAGGUUGAAACUCAAGGGAUUGACGGGGGCCGCACAGCGGUGGUGCAUGUGGUUAAUUCGACGCAACGCGAGGAACCUUA